rfam:Brachypodium distachyon strain Bd21 chromosome 2, whole genome shotgun sequence.
AUUAUACUUCCUCCGUCCAACAAAAGAUGUCUCAACUUUGACUAGAUACAUUCAAAUUUUGACAAACUUGAGAUAUCUUUUGUUGGACGGAGGGAGUACCAC